CAGUGGUGUGGUGAGCGCGCCGCCGGUAGUAGGUGUUGUGGAGUUCCCGCGCGUCUCGAGCUGCUGAUGUUGACAAACGCUGAAGACGUUUGUGUUGAACUGAAACAUCAUUCACUUCAGACGGACUCUGUGGAGCUUUUACAAGAACUCACGGACACUUUUACUUCAGAACAGGUGAUCUGCAUUCUGAUUGGCUGCAGGCUGGUUAUGGAGCGUCCUUAUAUUAGAAAGAUUCACAGUGCUGAAGGUUCGAUGGUUCGUGGGAUCUAAUGUAUGCGGGACAGCGAUACCUGUGCAGUGAGUGUGAAGCUGUGAUUGAGGCUGCUGUGGGGUGUGCAGUUUCUCACAUUCUGUAGAGGACACACACAUACACACACACACUCAAGAGUGUGUUGAGCAGACAGCUGAGGGAUUCACUCGCUCCCUGGAGUUGCGCACACGGAAGAUGGAUCUCUUGAGGACUUGCUUGCAUUGGGUCUGUGUGCUGGUCAUUGGACUUCUGGGACUCGUGGAGGAGAACUUGGCUAAUGUUCUAGACACCUAUGCUGCUGAGGAAUUCUGGGAAGGUGGAAGAACAUCGGGAGACAGGAAGUGAUGCGCCGGCUCUACCUCAGCGCUUCCUGUGGUGUUACUGUUAUCAUCACUGCCCGGAGGACUCGACUAAUAACACAUGCAGGACGGACGGGUACUGCUUCACCAUGGUGGAGGAAGAGGGUGGAACGGCUGUGGUGACGUCAGGUUGUCUGGGUCUGGUCGGAUCAGAGUUUCAGUGCCGAGACACGGGGAACUCUAAGCAGCGGCGAGCACUAGAGUGCUGCACAGAUCAGGACUACUGUAAUAGAGACUUACACCCAACACUGCCUCCCCUACGAACACCCAGUUAUGUGGUUGGAGACAUUCAUCAUAUCGCUCUGCUCAUCUCAGUGACCGUCUGUAGCUUCAUCCUCACCUUCAUCAUCAUCUUCUGUUACUUCAGGUAUAAGCGUCAUGAGUUGGCCCCGCGCUACAGCCUUGGCCUGCAUCCUGAUGAAACUUUCAUUCCUCCCGGAGAAUCCCUGCGGGAUCUCAUAGAGCAGUCCCAGAGCUCUGGCUCAGGGUCAGGACUCCCCCUGCUGGUGCAGCGCACUAUAGCAAAGCAGAUCCAGAUGGUGACACAGAUCGGGAAGGGCCGUUAUGGAGAGGUGUGGAUGGGAAGAUGGAGGGGAGAGAAAGUAGCUGUGAAAGUCUUUUUUACCACAGAAGAAGCCAGCUGGUUCAGAGAGACGGAGAUAUAUCAGACUGUCCUCAUGAGACAUGAGAAUAUACUGGGGUUCAUAGCGGCCGACAUUAAAGGCACAGGCUCGUGGACUCAACUCUACCUCAUCACCGACUACCACGAGAACGGCUCUCUGUACGACUAUCUCAAAUGCACCACCCUGGACAGCCGAGCCAUGCUGAGAUUGGCAUACUCCUCUGUCUCUGGACUCUGCCACCUUCACACGGAAAUCUUUGGCACGCAGGGCAAACCGGCCAUCGCCCACAGAGACCUGAAGAGCAAAAACAUCCUGGUGAAGAGGAACGGAGCCUGCUGCAUCGCUGACCUCGGCCUGGCCGUCAAGUUCAUCAGCGACACUAAUGAAGUGGACAUCCCACUGAACACACGUGUGGGCACCAAACGCUUCAUGGCUCCUGAAGUUCUGGACGAGACUCUGAACAGGAACCAUUUUCAGUCCUACAUCAUGGCAGACAUAUACAGCUUUGGCCUCAUACUGUGGGAGAUCGCCCGCCGAUGUGUGUCUGGAGGUAUCGUAGAGGAAUAUCAGCUGCCGUAUCAUGAUCACGUUCCUAAUGACCCAUCGUACGAAGACAUGCGAGAGGUCGUCUGCAUCAAGAGAAUACGGCCGUCUUUCCCCAACCGCUGGAGCAGUGAUGAGUGUCUCAGACAGAUGGGGAAGCUCAUGACGGAGUGUUGGGCUCAUAACCCUGCCUCUCGGCUCACCGCUCUUCGCAUUAAAAAGACGCUGGCCAAGAUGUCAGAGUCCCAGGACAUUAAAGUCUGAGAACAUCCCAACAGCAGCACUGACGCUAACCCCGAACCCACCACCUGCAACGGCCCGCUGUGGGUUCAAACGAUCCUCGCCUCUUUUGGAGACGUCGUGGAUUGUGGGAAAUGGCAGUUCGUUAGAGGCUGUUACACGUCGGUGGGGUGGCAGCGGCUGCAGGCAGUGAGACUGCAGACAGAUCACAAAUAAUGAGUCCUGUGUUUCACAUCACUGCGAGCACAUUUACAAGCACACCAACACUCGCGUCUACUGUCACCAAUUUAUGCACAAACAUUUAUGCAUAAAAUACGCCGGCUGCUUUGCAAAGCGGUUGCAUAGACCAUCAUUAACUGUAAACUGUCUGUUACGGCUGUAAACACAUUUAAGAUCUGUGAGUUUAACUUUAGGUCUUGCUAAAGACUUCUGUGAUUUCCAUUUGCAAAUGGGUGUUUAAUAUUUCGAGUUUACAUGAAAUCAGAACGACCCGGUGCACUUUCUUAAUACAUGAUCCUGCUCAUAAUGUAUGGAAGCCCAUCGCUGACACAGAAGAAAAAAACAUCAUGAAAUAUGACAAUAACAUGCAUAAUUACAACAAAAAAGUCAUAAUUAUGACAUAAAAAGUUUGAAUUUUGACAAAACAAAGUUAUAAUAAAAGAAAAAAGAAGAAAAGAAAUUAUAGCAUUAAAAAAGUUGAAAUAUGACAGUCAAAAUUAUAACAAGUCAUAAUGAGAUAAAAAUGUAAAAUUGAGACCAAAAGUAGAAAUUAUUAUAUAAAAUUUGAAAUUGAAAAAAGUUGAAAUUAUGAGAUAAAAAGUUGGAAUUUUGACAAAACAAACAAGAUAAAAUAAAAAAAUUUAACAAAAAUAUUUUUUAUAUUUUUUUUUUAGUUUUAAAUAUUACAUAUAAUUUAAACUUUUUUUCAAUUUUAACUUUUGAGAUACUAAGUCAUAAUUAUGACAAGUUGAAAUUGAGGAAAAAAGUUGAAAUUAUGAUAAAAUGUCAAUUUCAAAUUUUGUAUCAUAUUUUGACUGUAAUAAAAGAAAAAAAUAAAAUAUAUAUAAAAAAAUAUAAAAUAAGAAAAAUAGAAAUUAUGAAACUAAAAAGUUUAAAUAUGACAGUCAAUACACAUUAUGAGUCAUUAUGAGAUAAAAAGUCAAAAUUAUGAUAUAGCAUAAUUAUGAGAUAAAAAGUUGAAAUGUUGACAAAACAUUAUCAUGAAGUUAUAAUAAAAGAAAAAAGAAAUUAUAACAUUAAAAAAGGUGAAAUAUGGCACUCAAAAUUAUAACAGUCAUAAUGAGAUUAAAAGCUAAAAUUAUGACAAAAGUGGAAAUUAUAAUAGUAAGCCAUAAUUAUGGCAAUUUUUUCAUACUUUUGACCAUAAUGAAAGAAAAUAUAUAUAAAAAAGAAAAAUAGAAUAUUUAAAUAAGUUGUAAUAUGAGUGUCAAAAUUAUAACACUGUCAAUUUCAAUUUUUUUUGUCAUAAUUUAUGACUUUUUAUGUCAUAAUUGUGAUAUACGAAAUAAUUUUUUUCUUAUAUGUCAGAAAUGGGCUUCCAUAUUAUGGCAAACGAUUCAUCAGUGAAAAUUAUUUCUAAGAAAAUAAAAGUUCUUCCAUCAGAAUGUAAUAACUUGCUCCGCCCCUGAAACCUUGUUUCUUUCGGCUGACAUCAUCAGAGCCCACCCUCUGCCCCCGAGACGUUACUUUCAUAAUAUCAAAGUUAAUGUGCAUGUAAAUAUGAUCAGAUAAACUCUCUACAGCAACACAAGCAAAUAUAUUCCAUAGAAACUUUUUCAGUCAUGUAUUUGGGAUAUGUUCUGAGAUCUUCCUGGCUGAAGGAGUGACACAGGAGCGACAUAUUUAAUAUUCACCAGAAAAAAAUGAUUCCACUGUACUGGCAGUGUUCAUAGGUCCUGCAGCUCCAACCAACCAUGAAAAUCUUCUUUAAUAUGUUUUUUUUCUUUAUCCUGACCAGCUUCUGCAACUAACAGAACAUUUUCUAUUUCGUACUCAUCCGCACAUCUUUAUAUUAAUCAUAAAAUAUGUUCUGAUUGGCCGUGAUUGUGUCGUAUCUUACAGUAUUUUCACUUUGAGUGUGGACAGAAAAAUGACUUAGGCUUACAAAAAUUUACAGCAACACUUCAAGCCUUUAUGUAUAAUGCAUUAUGAAGGUAUCCAUAAUGUAUUAUAUCGUUUCAUAAAUAAUUGUAACCAAAGUUAAAUCUGAAAUUGGUUGUUUGACAUGUGUUUUAAUGCAUUAUACUUUGUAUAUUCAUGAGACCAUACAGUGCAUUAUGAGGCAUAAUUAAUGCAUUAAAAAUACUUUUAUACGG